rnacentral:rRNA from 1 species
UCAGGACGAACGCNGGCGGCGUGCUUAACACAUGCAAGUUGAACGGGCAGAUAUGGAAGCUUGCUGAAGUAUCUGUUAGUAGCGGACGGGUGAGUAAUGCAUGAGGAGCUGUCAUAGGGAGGGGGACAACAGUUGGAAACGGCUGCUAAUACCCCGUAUGCCGGAAGGUGAAAGGGAGCGAUCCGCCCGAUGAGGUACUCAUGUCCUAUCAGCUGGUUGGUGGGGUAACGGCCUACCAAGGCGACGACGGGUAGCCGGCCUGAGAGGGUGAACGGCCACACUGGAACUGAGAUACGGUCCAGACUCCUACGGGAGGCAGCAGUGGGGAAUAUUGGGCAAUGGGGGGAACCCUGACCCAGCGACGCCGCGUGAGGGAAGACGGCCUUCGGGUUGUAAACCUCUUUUGUACGGGAAGAAGGAAGUGACGGUACUGUACGAAUAAGUCCCGGCUAACUACGUGCCAGCAGCCGCGGUAAUACGUAGGGGACGAGCGUUGUCCGGAAUUACUGGGCGUAAAGGGCGCGUAGGCUGUGCUGCAAGUCAGCUGUGAAAUAUCUGGGCUUAACCUGGAUAUGCGGAUGAGACUGCAGUGCUGGAGUGCUGUAGAGGCAAGUGGAAUUCCCAGUGUAGCGGUGAAAUGCGUAGAUAUUGGGAAGAACACCGGUGGCGAAGGCGACUUGCUGGGCAGCAACUGACGCUGAGGCGCGAAAGCCAGGGGAGCGAACGGGAUUAGAUACCCCGGUAGUCCUGGCCGUAAACGAUGAAUGCUAGGUGUGGGUGUAGAGAUACAUUCGUGCCGGAGUUAACGCGAUAAGCAUUCCGCCUGGGGAGUACGGUCGCAAGA